UAACGGCCCACCAAGACAACGAUGGAUAGGGGUUCUGAGAGGAAGGUCCCCCACAUUGGAACUGAGACACGGUCCAAACUCCUACGGGAGGCAGCAGUGAGGAAUAUUGGUCAAUGGGCGCGAGCCUGAACCAGCCAAGUAGCGUGAAGGAUGAAGGCUCUAUGGGUCGUAAACUUCUUUUAUAUGGGAAUAAAGUUUUCCACGUGUGGAAUUUUGUAUGUACCAUAUGAAUAAGGAUCGGCUAACUCC
rnacentral:rRNA from 1 species